rnacentral:rRNA from 1 species
GACGAACGCUGGCGGCGUGCUUAACACAUGCAAGUCGAACGGAAAGGCCCUGCUUUUGUGGGUUGCUCGAGUGGCGAACGGGUGAGUAACACGUGAGUAACCUGCCCUUGACUUUGGGAUAACUUCAGGAAACUGGGGCUAAUACCGGAUAGGAGCUCCUGCUGCAUGGUGUGGGUUGGAAAGUUUCGGCGGUUGGGGAUGGACUCGCGGCUUAUCAGCUUGUUGGUGAGGUAGUGGCUUACCAAGGCUUUGACGGGUAGCCGGCCUGAGAGGGUGACCGGCCACAUUGGGACUGAGAGACGGCCCAGAAUCCUACGGGAGGCAGAAGUGGGGAAUAUUGCACAAUGGGCGGAAGCCUGAUGCAGCAACGCCGCGUGCGGGAUGACGGCCUUCGGGUUGUAAACCGCUUUCGCCUGUGACGAAGCGUGAGUGACGGUAAUGGGUAAAGAAGCACCGGCUAACUACGUG